rnacentral:rRNA from 1 species
CUGCAGCCUGCAACCCGGCUGCACGAAGCCGGAAUCGCUAGUAAUCGCGGAUCAGAAUGCCGCGGUGAAUACGUUCCCGGGUCUUGUACACACCGCCCGUCACACCAUGGGAGCCGGGAAUGCCCGAAGCAGGCGGCCCAACCGGAAGGAGGGAGUCUUCGAAGGCAGGCCCGGUGACUGGGGUGAAGUCGUAACAAGGUACC